CUCUUGGGUUGUCUAUCUGGGCAACAGGAUCACUGGAAAGCUGCAAAGAAGGUGAUGAGAUACUUGCAAGGAACAAAGAUUUACAUUCUUACAUAUAGAAAGUCAGAUAGCCUUGAAGUGAUUGGCUAUUCGGAUUCAGACUUUGCUGGAUGUGUGGAUAGUAGAAAGUCAACGUUUGGCUAUUUGUUCCUAUUAGCUGGAGAAGCAAUCUCAUAGAAAAGUGCCAAACAGACAAGCACUGCUUCGUCCACCAUGGAAGCAGAAUUUGUGGCAUGCUUUGACGCCACGGUUCAUAGUUUGUGGCUGUAUAACUUCAUCUCGGGACUUGGGAUGUCGACUCUAUUGCCAGGCCGUUGAGAAUCUUUUAUGACAAUACUGCAGCCGUCCAUUUCUCAAAAAACGACAAAUAUUCUAAUGGUGCCAAGCACAUUGAGCUUAAAUAUUUUGUUGUCAAUGAGGAAGUUCAGAAACAAAAUGUGUCUAUAGAAAAUAUGAGGACAGAGCUCAUGAUUGUCGAUCCUUUGAUAAAAGGUUUACAACCAAAGACUUUUAAAGAGCAUGUUGAAAGAAUGGGUCUUAGUUGUAAUCCAUGAUAUUAAUUGAGGAUUGUAUUAUGUUUAUUUCUUUGGCACUUAGAUAUAAUUGAUUAUGUUUCUGAUUUUCCUGUUCUUCAAAUAUAUGUACAUGUAUGGGUUUGAAUGUAUGAUUACAGGAAUUGUCUCUGACAAAGACAUAAUGUUUGACCAUUAAAGAUACUUCUCAUUUAUGGACUGUGGUUAAAUAAUUUACUAGUGUUGUAGUACUUGGAAGGAACUAUGUCAUUAUGUUGAUGUGGAACCGCCUUGACUCGUAUUAGUAAGUUGUUUAAUUAUGGUAUUAUGAUGACCCAACUUACUGUGGAUUAGAAUGAUGCGCGCCUAAUGUUUAUAUCAUUCUAACCAAAGUAUGGUCAUAUGGGCCAAGUGGGAGAAUGUUGGGUUUUGACCCACAUGACCACAACGUGGUCAGUUACGAGAUGAUUACCGUAACUGUCUCCUAGAGAAGUGGAAGCAUAAUAUCCUUGAUGGUAGGAUAUUCGAAGGGGUCUCACCCUCUGCCCAUAACGUGAACACAAAAUCGGUCUCCAUCACCGAGUGUUUGAACAGGGGUCAAGAGGGAGAAAGAAAAGAAGCGUUGAUCGUUCAGCAAAUCCAUGGAUCCAGGUAUGCAACCCUUCAUGGUUCUAUUUAUGAUCCUAUUUCCAGAUGAUUUAACAACUGGAGAUUUUCCAUUUUAUUCCUCUAAGAAUGUUUGCAGGUAUAAACAUAUCUUCUCUGCUCUAUGUAUGCUAAUUGUGUGAAACAGUCUGUUUCUUAUACUAUUUGUGGUCGUUGAUCAUCUCAUUUUUUUUGCAGUUGCAUUCUUGGACAUCAUUAUUAUGUUCUGGCUUGCAGAACAAUCUUAUAAUGAUAGGUUCAUCUUUUUGCUGCAGUAUUUAGUUCAAUAUUCUGCUCACAUGUUUCUUGGUGACUGAAAUUUUUACUGCUUACCAUAUGGAGCUACUCUAUUGCAGUUUUCUUUUUAUUUUAUAGUUUACACACUUUGGGUUAUGAAUUUACUAUUAUAUACCACAAGAGACCGUUUCUGAUUUGUCUCUUUUUGCUAUAAAUGUUUAUUGUCAAGUGAUUUCAAAAUGCAGUUGCAUUUGCUAAAAGUCAUCGGAUCAUUGAGAUAGGAAGUUGUCAUUGAUUUGCAGCUUAUAUUUAUGGACAAAUUUCAUAGAAGUGUUGCAAUGGAUGGAGGUUCUAGGUGGGAGGUGAAUGCUGUACUAUGCAUCUGUUGGAAGAAUCUCACUUCUGUAUUAUGUAUUGAUACUUUGGGAAGAAAUAUGAUACAUCAAGUUGGUAGAAUCUUAUCUUAGAAACUAAUGUAAACUACUUAGUACAAUUAUCAACAUUGAUAACAAGUUGUAUCUUUUGUUUUUUUAAAGCAAAAUGACCAUUCAUCUAUGUAACGUGGCUGCCUAUACUCUCCUAUGAUCUGUCAAAGGUCUUGGUAAAAUAGGGCUGGAAUUUCCUUCAUUUCAUGAAGUUGGUGAAGUUCUAUAAAAUUUCUGAGGUGUACUUAUAAAUGCAUGUUGAAUUGACUUACUAAGCGUGAGAACUAGGAGCGGUAGCAACCACUGACUACUUGGGCCAGGCCUUGCAGCCAGAAAAUGGGACGUCAAAUGGGACUGCAUGACUGAUAUUCAAUUUCUGUGAGAAGAAGGGGGGCUACUUGAGGGCUUCAACUUUCCUCUCUUGGUCUGCUACAACUUUUCUGGCUAUUGAAGAAUAUUUUCUGAGGUUUAAAUGGUUAUGAGUAAUAUUCGGUACUUUUGUUUUUGAACCAUAUUGAUGAUACUGAGAAAAAAGCAUAAGCAUUUUUACAUGAAUACUCACCUAUUUAUCAGUUUGAAAAUUAAAAUGUGCAUAGCCCUUAAGUUGGAAGAAAGACUCACUUUCAAGCCCAAUCUAAUAUAGAAGCAUUCAAAAAUGUAUCAAGCAUCAUUUGGGUGUCCAAGGGAUUAAAAUACAGAACAUGCAAGUUUAGACUGACCUUUAUUUUCAAUUGUAAAUGAGUAGAUAUUUACUGAGCUUGCACUUUAACAAAAUUUAAGAUAAGAUCCAUUUUGAAAACAAACUUGGAUGUUAGCAUGGAUGAAUUUGUGAACCAUAGCAAUGCAUUUCUUUGUUCCACCUUGCCAUCUUAACUAGUGAACAAUGUCCUGUCACAUUUGCUCCUAAAUUUUAAAUCUACAUCUGAUGUCAACAUUUCUAACAAUAUUUUGAUAGCAAAGUAGUAUAUGGCAGAACCCUUGGUUUCCCCCCGACCUUUUCAAAGCAAUAUGCAGUGCCUUUGUGCUGCCGUUCCUUUCUUGCAACCGUUCAUAUACUGCAAUUAUAGUUAUUCUCGAUAGCUUCUUAAAUCAGUAUGUUAUUGGACUUGACAUGGAUUGCAAUUAGUUGACUACUGACAACAAAUUAAUUCCACAUGACAGUUGCUGCAGAUGUCUGGUGCAUAUAUGCAAGUGCUCAGUUUGCAUGUCUUUUUAUGACGAUAAGAAACAAUUUGCAAAUUAUACUAUCUUGUCAUUUGCAUUUUUUUUUGUUUGAGAUUAAAUGUAUGUUGUGUUUUUGACAAGGAAUCAAGGUACGCCGAACCGAUACCGGUCGGCGUACCAUUGGGGACUGGUACCGGUUGGAACCAGUACCGAACCGGCCAACUAUGGAAGGAAAAAAAAAACUGAUGCAUGCGCAUCUGCGUUAAAGCCAUAUAGUGGCAUUAAAUGGCCCAUGCGGGCUUUGCUCGGGGAAUCACGCGCGGCGCAGUUCCUAGCGCAUGGAAUCGCGCGCAGGCGCGCUGCCUCGCGCGCGGACACUCUCUUUUUUUUUCUUCUCUUCUUCUUCCCAAACGUUCUCU